UUGACCUCGGAUCAGGUAGGGAUACCCGCUGAACUUAAGCAUAUCAAUAAGCGGAGGAAAAGAAACCAACAGGGAUUGCCUUAGUAACGGCGAGUGAAGCGGCAACAGCUCAAAUUUGAAAUCUGUCUCUUUUAGAGUCCGAGUUGUAAUUUGUAGAGGAUGUUUCGGGCGUGGUCCGGUCUAAGUUCCUUGGAACAGGACGUCAUAGAGGGUGAGAAUCCCGUAUGCGACUGGGUGCCUAAGCUCAUGUGAAACUCCUUCGACGAGUCGAGUUGUUUGGGAAUGCAGCUCAAAAUGGGUGGUAAAUUUCAUCUAAAGCUAAAUAUUGGCCAGAGACCGAUAGCGCACAAGUAGAGUGAUCGAAAGAUGAAAAGCACCUUGGAAAGAGAGUUAAACAGUACGUGAAAUUGUUGAAAGGGAAGCGCUUGCAACCAGACUUGCAUUCAGUUGAUCAUCCGGCGUUUUCACCGGUGCACUCGAUUGUUUUCAGCCAGCAUCGGUUUUGGUGGUUGGAUAAAGGCCUUGGGAAUGUAGCUUCUUUCG
rnacentral:rRNA from 1 species